UGCCAGCCGCCGCGGUAAUACAUAGGGGUCAAGCGUUGUCCGGAUUUAUUGGGCGUAAAGAGCUCGUAGGCGGUUCGGUAAGUCAGGUGUGAAAGCUCGAGGCUCAACCUCGAGAUGCCACCUGAUACUGCUGUGACUUGAGUCCGGUAGAGGAAAGUGGAAUUUCUGGUGUAGCGGUGACAUGCGUAGAUAUCAGAAGGAACACCAAUGGCGAAGGCAACUUUCUGGCCUAAAACUGACGCUGAGGAGCGAAAGCUAGGGGAGCAAACAGGAUUAGAUA
rnacentral:rRNA from 1 species